rnacentral:rRNA from 1 species
GGGUUGUCAUGCCAAUGGCACUGCCCGGUAGCUAAAUGCGGAAGAGAUAAGUGCUGAAAGCAUCUAAGCACGAAACUUGCCCCGAGAUGAGUUCUCCCUGAGACUUUAAGUCUCCUGAAGGAACGUUAAAGACGAUGACGUUGAUAGGCCGGGUGUGUAAGCGCAGCGAUGCGUUGAGCUAAUCGGUACUAAUGAACCGUGAGGCUUAACCUU